UACGUAGGGUGCAAGCGUUGUCCGGAAUUAUUGGGCGUAAAGAGCUCGUAGGCGGUCUGUCGCGUCGGCUGUGAAAACCCGGGGCUCAACCCCGGGCCUGCAGUCGAUACGGGCAGACUAGAGUGCGGUAGGGGAGACUGGAAUUCCUGGUGUAGCGGUGAAAUGCGCAGAUAUCAGGAGGAACACCGGUGGCGAAGGCGGGUCUCUGGGCCGGUACUGACGCUGAGGUGCGAAAGCGUGGGGAGCAAACAGG
rnacentral:rRNA from 1 species